UGGCCAGAGCACUGUUAUUCUCCUGGGAGAAGAUGAUCUGCAGGAUCCUGCUGCUCAUCAUCCUCUAAUCAUUUGUAAUGAAUGUGGCACAGACCUCAGACAGAGGAGAACCACAGCAUCCCACUGGAGUGGAUGUUUAUAACCAAAACUGACAGAUCCUCUAAAUUUAUUUUUAUCCCCUGUAACCUGAUAGUUGGUUAAAAACUCCCAGUCCUGAUUUCAGUGUUCAACUGUCAGAGUCUCAGGACAAAAUGUUUUCAGGACACGCCCAGAGUGACAAAGAUGCCCUGCGAGAAGUAUUCAGACUUCCACUGUAGACCCAGGACUGAUGACUCGGGUCUCUGUGUUUAUAAAGUGAAGACAGAUUUUGGCUUCAGCUCUGCCAGAUGUCAGCUGUUACUGAAAACAAGGUGUUUGUACAUCUAGUAAUGAAGAUGAUGGUGAUGAGCUGUAAUCCACAACUGAUACACAAAGUCCCACUGUUAAUGGAGGAAACUAUUCUUCACUUUUAUAUCAGGCAUGAUUUUGAAAGGA